UACGUAGGGAGCGAGCGUUGUCCGGAUUUACUGGGUGUAAAGGGUGCGUAGGCGGGUUUGCAAGUCAGGCGUGAAAUACCGAGGCUUAACUUCGGGGCUGCGCUUGAAACUGUAGAUCUUGAGUGAAGUAGAGGUAAGCGGAAUUCCUAGUGUAGCGGUGAAAUGCGUAGAUAUUAGGAGGAACACCAGUGGCGAAGGCGGCUUACUGGGCUUUAACUGACGCUGAGGCACGAAAGUAUGGGGAGCAAAC
rnacentral:rRNA from 1 species